UGCCAGCCGCCGCGGUAAGACAGAGGGUGCAAACGUUGUUCGGAAUUACUGGGCGUAAAGCGCGUGUAGGCUGUUUAGCAAGUCGGGUGUGAAAGCCCAGGGCUCAACCCUGGAAGUGCAUUCGAAACUGCUAGACUAGAGUCUCGGAGAGGGAAGCGGAAUUCUGGGUGUAGAGGUGAAAUUCGUAGAUAUCCAGAGGAAUACCGGCGGCGAAGGCGGCUUCCUGGACGAGUACUGACGCUGAGACGCGAAAGCGUGGGGAGCAAACAGGAUUAGAUA
rnacentral:rRNA from 1 species